GAUGAACGCUGGCGGCGUGCCUAAUACAUGCAAGUCGAACGAACAGGCGAGGAGCUUGCGCCUCUCACGUUAGCGGAAGGCGUGUGUGUAACGCGUGUAUAAUCUCCCUGUCAUACUGGUAUCACUUCGGAAAACCGGCGCUAAUACGGUAGAAUCUCUUGAACCGCAGGGUUCAAUGGAGAAAUACGGUUUUGCUGUAUCUUCUCGCUGCUUCCGGGCCGUAUUAGCUGGUUGGUACGGUAACGGCUUACCAAGGCAACGAUGCGUAUCCGACCUCAGAGGCGGAUCGGCCACCUUGGAGCGUAGACACGGUCCAGACUACUACGGGAGGCAGCAGUAUGCAAUCGGCCGCAAUAGGCGGAAGCAUUACGGAACAACGCCGCGUGAGUGAUGAAGGUCUUCGGUGCGUAAAACUCUGUUAUGAGGGAAGAACAAAUGUGUAAGGAACUAUGCACGUCGUGACGGUACCCAAUCAGAAAGCCACGGCUAACUACGUG
rnacentral:rRNA from 1 species